rnacentral:tRNA from 1 species
GGCCAGAUAGUGCAGUGGUUAGCACGCGUUGGUACAAGCAAGGAGGCGGGGCUUUGACCCCCGGUCUAGUCA